GGACCCGCACAAGUAGUGGAGCAUGUGGUUUAAUUCGAUGAUACGCGAGGAACCUUACCAGGGCUUAAAUGUAGUGGGACAGGUCUAGAGAUAGACCCUUCUUCGGACUCAUUACAAGGUGCUGCAUGGUUGUCGUCAGCUCGUGCCGUGAGGUGUCAGGUUAAGUCCCGCAACGAGCGCAACCCACGUCUUUAGUUGCCAGCAUGUAAUGAUGGGAACUCUAACGGGACUGCCGGUGCAAACCGCGAGGAAGGUGGGGAUGACGUCAAAUCAUCACGGCCCUUACGUCCUGGGCUACACACGUGCUACAAUGGCCGGUACAGAGGGCAGCCACACCGCAAGGUGGAGCGAAUCCUUAAAACCGGUCUCAGUUCGGAUCGGGGUCUGCAACUCGGCCCCGUGAAGCUGGAAUC
rnacentral:rRNA from 1 species